ACUGCAUUCUGGCGGCAGGCCUAACACAUGCAAGUCGAGCGGUAGCACAGAGAGCUUGCUCUCGGGUGACGAGCGGCGGACGGGUGAGUAAUGUCUGGGAAACUGCCUGAUAGAGGGGGAUAACUACUGGAAACGGUAGCUAAUACCGCAUAACGUCGCAAGACCAAAGUGGGGGACCUUCGGGCCUCAUGCCAUCAGAUGUGCCCAGAUGGGAUUAGCUAGUAGGUGGGGUAAUGGCUCACCUAGGCGACGAUCCCUAGCUGGUCUGAGAGGAUGACCAGCCACACUGGAACUGAGACACGGUCCAGACUCCUACGGGAGGCAGCAGUGGGGAAUAUUGCACAAUGGGCGCAAGCCUGAUGCAGCCAUGCCGCGUGUGUGAAGAAGGCCUUCGGGUUGUAAAGCACUUUCAGCGGGGAGGAAGGCGGUGAGGUUAAUAACCUCAUCGAUUGACGUUACCCGCAGAAGAAGCACCGGCUAACUCCGUGCCAGCAGCCGCGGUAAUACGGAGGGUGCAAGCGUUAAUCGGAAUUACUGGGCGUAAAGCGCACGCAGGCGGUCUGUCAAGUCGGAUGUGAAAUCCCCGGGCUCAACCUGGGAACUGCAUUCGAAACUGGCAGGCUAGAGUCUUGUAGAGGGGGGUAGAAUUCCAGGUGUAGCGGUGAAAUGCGUAGAGAUCUGGAGGAAUACCGGUGGCGAAGGCGGCCCCCUGGACAAAGACUGACGCUCAGGUGCGAAAGCGUGGGGAGCAAACAGGAUUAGAUACCCUGGUAGUCCACGCCGUAAACGAUGUCGAUUUGGAGGUUGUGCCCUUGAGGCGUGGCUUCCGGAGCUAACGCGUUAAAUCGACCGCCUGGGGAGUACGGCCGCAAGGUUAAAACUCAAAUGAAUUGACGGGGGCCCGCACAAGCGGUGGAGCAUGUGGUUUAAUUCGAUGCAACGCGAAGAACCUUACCUGGUCUUGACAUCCACAGAACUUUCCAGAGAUGGAUUGGUGCCUUCGGGAACUGUGAGACAGGUGCUGCAUGGCUGUCGUCAGCUCGUGUUGUGAAAUGUUGGGUUAAGUCCCGCAACGAGCGCAACCCUUAUCCUUUGUUGCCAGCGGUCCGGCCGGGAACUCAAAGGAGACUGCCAGUGAUAAACUGGAGGAAGGUGGGGAUGACGUCAAGUCAUCAUGGCCCUUACGACCAGGGCUACACACGUGCUACAAUGGCAUAUACAAAGAGAAGCGACCUCGCGAGAGCAAGCGGACCUCAUAAAGUAUGUCGUAGUCCGGAUUGGAGUCUGCAACUCGACUCCAUGAAGUCGGAAUCGCUAGUAAUCGUAGAUCAGAAUGCUACGGUGAAUACGUUCCCGGGCCU
rnacentral:rRNA from 1 species